AUUGAACGCUGGCGGCAGGCCUAACACAUGCAAGUCGAACGAGCGGCGGACGGGUGAGUAAUGUCUGGGAAACUGCCUGAUGGAGGGGGAUAACUACUGGAAACGGUAGCUAAUACCGCAUACCAUCGGAUGUGCCCAGAUGGGAUUAGCUAGUAGGUGGGGGAAAGGCUUACCUAGGCCACGAUCCAUAGCUGGUCUGAGAGGAUGACCAGCCACACUGGAACUGAGACACGGUCCAGACUCCUACGGGAGGCAGCAGUGGGGAAUAUUGGCAAAUGGGCGCAAGCCUGAGCCAGCCAUGCCGCGUGUGUGAAGAAGGCCUUCGGGUUGUAAAGCUAUUUUAGUUGGGAGGCGUUACCCACAGAAGAAGCACCGGCUAACUCCGUGCCAGCAGCCGCGGUAAUAC
rnacentral:rRNA from 1 species